GAUGAACGCUAGCUACAGGCUUAACACAUGCAAGUCGAGGGGCAGCAUUUUAGUUUGCUUGCAAACUGAAGAUGGCGACCGGCGCACGGGUGAGUAACACGUAUCCAACCUGCCGAUAACUCCGGGAUAGCCUUUCGAAAGAAAGAUUAAUACCGGAUAGCAUACGAAUAUCGCAUGAUAUUUUUAUUAAAGAAUUUCGGUUAUCGAUGGGGAUGCGUUCCAUUAGUUUGUUGGCGGGGUAACGGCCCACCAAGACAACGAUGGAUAGGGGUUCUGAGAGGAAGGUCCCCCACAUUGGAACUGAGACACGGUCCAAACUCCUACGGGAGGCAGCAGUGAGGAAUAUUGGUCAAUGGGCGAGAGCCUGAACCAGCCAAGUAGCGUGAAGGAUGAAGGCUCUAUGGGUCGUAAACUUCUUUUAUAUGGGAAUAAAGUAUUCCACGUGUGGAAUUUUGUAUGUACCAUAUGAAUAAGGAUCGGCUAACUCCGUGCCAGCAGCCGCGGUAAUACGGAGGAUCCGAGCGUUAUCCGGAUUUAUUGGGUUUAAAGGGAGCGUAGGUGGAUUGUUAAGUCAGUUGUGAAAGUUUGCGGCUCAACCGUAAAAUUGCAGUUGAAACUGGCAGUCUUGAGUACAGUAGAGGUGGGCGGAAUUUGUGGUGUAGCGGUGAAAUGCUUAGAUAUCACGAAGAACUCCGAUUGCGAAGGCAGCUCACUAGACUGUCACUGACACUGAUGCUCGAAAGUGUGGGUAUCAAACAGGAUUAGAUACCCUGGUAGUCCACACAGUAAACGAUGAAUACUCGCUGUUUGCGAUAUACAGUAAGCGGCCAAGCGAAAGCAUUAAGUAUUCCACCUGGGGAGUACGCCGGCAACGGUGAAACUCAAAGGAAUUGACGGGGGCCCGCACAAGCGGAGGAACAUGUGGUUUAAUUCGAUGAUACGCGAGGAACCUUACCCGGGCUUAAAUUGCAACAGAAUAUAUUGGAAACAGUAUAGCCGUAAGGCUGUUGUGAAGGUGCUGCAUGGUUGUCGUCAGCUCGUGCCGUGAGGUGUCGGCUUAAGUGCCAUAACGAGCGCAACCCCUAUCUUUAGUUACUAACAGGUCAUGCUGAGGACUCUAGAGAGACUGCCGUCGUAAGAUGUGAGGAAGGUGGGGAUGACGUCAAAUCAGCACGGCCCUUACGUCCGGGGCUACACACGUGUUACAAUGGGGGGUACAGAAGGCGGCUACCUGGUGACAGGAUGCUAAUCCCAAAAACCUCUCUCAGUUCGGAUCGAAGUCUGCAACCCGACUUCGUGAAGCUGGAUUCGCUAGUAAUCGCGCAUCAGCCAUGGCGCGGUGAAUACGUUCCCGGGCCU
rnacentral:rRNA from 1 species